rnacentral:ncRNA from 2 species
AGUAUAAUUAACAACAUGUCUUGUAUAUGGUUAGGAAUAGGGCCUAAUCGUUUCUACCAAGCUGCCGUAAAUAGCUUGACUACAAGAAGUUGUUGUUCUACU